GAUGAACGCUGGCGGCGUGCCUAAUACAUGCAAGUCGAGCGAACAGACGAGGAGCUUGCUCCUCUGACGUUAGCGGCGGACGGGUGAGUAACACGUGGAUAACCUACCUAUAAGACUGGGAUAACUUCGGGAAACCGGAGCUAAUACCGGAUAAUAUAUUGAACCGCAUGGUUCAGUAGUGAAAGACGGUUUUGCUGUCACUUAUAGAUGGAUCCGCGCCGCAUUAGCUAGUUGGUAAGGUAACGGCUUACCAAGGCAACGAUGCGUAGCCGACCUGAGAGGGUGAUCGGCCACACUGGAACUGAGACACGGGCCAGACUCCUACGGGAGGCAGCAGUAGGGAAUCUUCCGCAAUGGGCGAAAGCCUGACGGAGCAACGCCGCGUGAGUGAUGAAGGUCUUCGGAGCGUAAAACUCUGUUAUUAGGGAAGAACAAAUGUGUAAGUAACUAUGCACGUCUUGACGGUACCUAAUCAGAAAGCCACGGCUAACUACGUG
rnacentral:rRNA from 1 species